GGGGGAGUAUGGUCGCAAGGCUGAAACUUAAAGGAAUUGAUGGAAGGGCACCACCAGGCGUGGAGCCUGCGGCUUAAUUUGACUCAACACGGGGAAACUUACCAGGUCCAGACAUAGCAAGGAUUGACAGACUAAGAGCUCUUUCUUGAUUCUAUGGGUGGUGGUGCAUCGCCGUUCUUAGUUGGUGGAGCGAUUUGUCUGGUUAAUUCCCUUAACGAACGAGACCUCAGCCUGCUAACUAGCUAUGCGGACCCAUCCCUCAGCCGCUAGCUUCUUAGAGGGACUAUCGCCGUUUAGGCGACCGAAGCUUGCGGCAAUAACAGGUCUGUGAUGCCCUUAGAUGUUCUGGGCCCCACGCGCGCUACACUGAUGUAUUCAACGAGUAUAUAGCCUUGGCCGACAGGCCAGGGUCAUCUUGCGAAAUUUCAUCGUGAUGGGGAUAGAUCAUUGCAAUUGUUGGUCUUCAACGAGGAAUGCCUAGUAAGCGCAAGUCAUCAGCUCGCGUUGACUAAGUCCCUGACCUUUGUACACACCGCCCGUCGCUCCUACCGAUUGAAUGGUCUGGUGAAGUGUUCGGAUCGCGGCGACGGGGGCGGUUCGCCGCCCCCGACGUCGCGAGAAGUCCACUGAACCUUAUCAUUUAGAGGAAGGAGAAGUCGUAACAAGGUUUCCGUAGGUGAACCUGCGGAAG
rnacentral:rRNA from 16 species